UGUGCUGCGCAGGUAGUAAUCCUCCCACAUUGGACGCAUGGUCUGAUGAGCAACGCCGCGUGCGUGAAGAAGGGUUUCCGCUGGUAAAGCUCUGUUGUUAAAGAAGAACGUGGGUGAGAGUAACUGUUCACCCAGUGACGGUAUUUAACCAGAAAAGCCACGGCUAACUACGUGCCAGCAGCCGCGGUAAUAAGUAGUUGGCAAGCGUUAUCCGGAUUUAUUGGGCGUAAAGCGAGCGCAGGCGGUCUUUUAAGUCUAAUGUGAAAGCGUACGCCUCACCCGAAGAAGUGCAUUGGAAACUGGGAGACUUGAGUGCAGAAGAGGACAGUGGAACUCCAUGUGUAGCGGUGAAAUGCGUAGAUAUAUGGAAGAACACCAGUCGCGAAGGCGGCUGUCUGGUCUGUAACUGACGCUGAGGCUCGAAAGCAUGGGUAGCGAACAGGAUUAGAUACCCUGGUAGUCCAUGCCGUAAACGAUGAUUACUAAGUGUUGGAGGGUUUCCGCCUUUCAGUGCUGCAGCUAACGCAUUAAGUAAUCCGCCUGGGGAGUACGACCGCAAGGUUGAAACUCAAAAGAAUUGACGGGGGCCCGCACCACCGGUGGAGCAUGUGGUUUAAUUCGAAGCUACGCCGAAGAACCUUACCAGGUCUUGACAUCAUAUCUAACCUAAGAGAUAGGCGUUCCCGUUCGGGACUCAUUGACAGGUGUUGCAAUGGCCGUAAUAAGUUUGGGUAUU
rnacentral:rRNA from 1 species